rnacentral:rRNA from 1 species
AGUGAACGCUGGCGGUAGGCCUAAUACAUGCAAGUCGAACGGCAGCACAGUAAGAGCUUGCCCUUACGGGUGGCGAGUGGCGGACGGGUGAGGAAUACAUCGGAAUCUACUUUUUCGUGGGGGAUAACGUAGGGAAACUUACGCUAAUACCGCAUACGACCUACGGGUGAAAGCAGGGGAUCAUCGGACCUUGCGCGAAUGAAUGAGCCGAUGUCGGAUUAGCUAGUUGGCGGGGUAAAGGCCCACCAAGGCGACGAUCCGUAGCUGGUCUGAGAGGAUGAUCAGCCACACUGGAACUGGGACACGGUCCAGACUCCUACGGGAGGCAGCAGUGGGGAAUAUUGGACAAUGGGCGCAAGCCUGAUCCAGCCAUACCGCGUGGGUGAAGAAGGCCUUCGGGUUGUAAAGCCCUUUUGUUGGGAAAGAAAAGCAGCAGGUUAAUACCCCGCUGUUCUGACGGUACCCAAAGAGUAAGCACCGGCUAACUUCGUG